GGGUGUAGAGCUCGCCAGGGUGACCAGUGAAGGUGAUUUUUGGGGGGUUGAUGGCCAUGGAAGGUUUGAUGUCACAGCCAUUGGUGACAUGCUUGGAACCAAAGUAGACUGACAUGCUCAGGGUUGGUAUCAAAUAAACUGCAAGCCCAUUUGUGGUUGGUAUCAAAUGAAGUACAAUUAAUAACACUAAUUAUAUUUGGUUCUCGAUAUCAUUAUGGUGGUUAUGAAUUUAUGAUGGAGGGUAGGUAGCACAAGAUGAAAUGAAAGUUUCCCAUCUACCCUCUCAGGGCCAUCCCUACAUGUUGUUAUGUGUUAGAAAUUUGUCAAUAACCAUUCUUUCAAUUUCAAUAUGUAUAUAUAUAAGGAAUAUGCAUGGGAUCCCAUCUACCCUCAAACUCGAGCUAGCUAGCCUUGAUUUUCUAGGUAAGAUCAACACCAUCCAUUCCCCAUCCCCCACGCCUCCACACACCACACAUAUACAUUCACAUCUGAAGGUCAAUGUCAGGACUACUCAUGCUUCCCUCUUCCCUCACUUCUGAGAGACAGGUAAGAUCGAUAACAUCUAUAAAUACAAACUCAAUCCGGCACACAAGAGUCUCCUUCCUUGCCUUCCCUCACCAUUCCCCCCCCCCCUCCAACCCUUCAUCUCCUUUUAGUAUUGAAUCUGAAACAUUAUAUUUCGAAAUUGGAAUGUCUUUUACACACAGAGAUAUAUGUGAUGAUUCAGUAGUAGGGGGCUUGAGUAUCAUAUGUAUGCAUGGAUAGUAUAUCGGUGAGUGACUUCCAUGCUGACCCUCGUCAAAUGAACAGUGUCUUGCAGGUUAUAUCUCCAUCUCGUUGUCUGUUCGACCUUGAACUUUUAUAUAUAUCCCAUUUCUAGUCUCUCUCGUGUUUGUUUUCUACAGUUUACGGUAUAUAUAAGUAAUAAUGUCGUUAGGGAGUUGUUAAUGUCACUCCAAAUAGUUCUCAACGCUAAUUAAUAUAUAAUUAACCUUUUAAUUAAUGGAGUUUUAAUGAAACACUUUUGGUACUGUUCACUUUUAACGAAAAAAACAUUAUUACUCUAAAAAGUCAUUCUUGUUACUAUUCACUUACAACACUUUUUGUCAUUUUGAUUAAAAUUCAAAGUUUUCAAGUCAAUUUCUUUAGUUUUCUUUUUAAUUAACUAUUGAAACCCUUCUGAUCAUCUUCUCCAUCCAUGCCUUUUAACAUUGAUAAUUUCUUCAUAGUAUGAUAGUUAUUAGUUUAUAUAUUAACAUGAAGGAUUUGAGAAUAAAUUAGUGUCGAACUCGUCAUUCACGAAAUCGAAUUUAAAAUCUCUCACUUACAAGUGAAGAUAAAAAGAACUAUCACUAAAUUGUAGUCAUAAAGAUACCCACACACAUAUUAUAUUCAAUUUAUUAUCUUCGGAACUUACUUAAUUUGCAAAUUAUAGGUAUACAUUAUAUUGUUGAAUAAUUUUUUUUUUCUCACUCCCUUAUAGUAAUCACGUAUGCACUUUCAUUGUUCUUUAAUUUUUCAGUAAAAAAACAACGUGCAUAGUAAAUUUCGGUAAAAAAAAGAGUGCACAAUGAAUUUUUUAAAGCCGUAGUAAUUAUGUCAUUAUAAAUAAUGAAUCAAUAGAGAGAAAUUCUGGUGAUAAAUCAUAUUAAUCCCAAAGUAAAAAUUAGAGCUAAUUAGGAACUGAAAGCGGACCAAGGUCAAACUGGCAACAAAGUUGAGGUAUUAGUAAGAACCGUUUGCUUGACAAGGACUUUGUAUGGACAUCAACCCUCAUCAUUCCCGCGUUUCGUCGUUCAAAACCGAUUACCUCAUCAGCUGGUACGUCAUCUCUCUCUCUCUCUCUCUCUCUCUCUCUCUCUCUCUCAUAUGAAAGUGCAGGAUUUUAGCAGUUUCUUGCUGCGCUCAUAGCAACUGCCAUAAACUCCGCACAGAAAGCAUAGCGAUGGCGACCCAGACUGCCUAUUCCAUUCACUGGCUGAAGCCUCAAAGAUCAAGGACCAGGGCUGCCUUCGACUAGCGACAAGUGGCCGGCCCUUUUUGUUUAAGUUGAAGCAGACAAAUAUAAUCAUGACAAAGGCCCACAUGGGUUCAAUUUUCUCUGUCACUGAAAUAAGACUGAAAAUAGAAAUAUUUUUAUCUUUUUUUUCACCGAAUUCUCUAUCUCUUGAUGUAAAUAUAUCGUUUUAUUCAAAAAAUAAUUUUAUUUACCAACAUUCGAUAUGCAUGAAGCUUUUUUUUUUCUAACUGCAGUUCGAUAUACGAGAAAUUUCUUUCUUUACAAGCAUCUGACAUGCACAAUAAGUUCAUUAUGAUCACAGUAAACAUUGCGUUCAUCUUUACCAUUAAACUCAAAUUAACCCUAAUCAUAACUAGUUUGUUUACUCUCCAAAUUAAAGGCCAAUUAAAAUAGGAAAAGACUUGUAAAUUUAGAGUGAGACUUCCUGCACAUAAUACAAAAAGCAACCAAAAUCCCAACCCCAUGGAGAAUCACCCACCCUAGCUUAAUUUGCUAUCUUCAUAUAUAAUUAACAUGCAUGCAUUACAUUACAAAAGAUACAAGUUCCCCUAAAAACACACUCAAAUUAAAGCCACUGUAAAGGCUAGACUCCAAUCCCUGGUGAAACACCACCACACCAUUCAAUGGAAACGUUGAGGGCCUCCUGUUCUCUGGCUGCUUCGGGGAGUUGAAGUUAUUUCUUGAUAAGAGUUACAAGGGUGAAAAUUAAUUUCAUUACUUGACAUGUUUCUUGUAUGUGUAAAACAUUCUUCCACAAUAGGGCUUCAUUAUGCGUGAAAAAACUUUCUUUCGUUAUUGAUUCCGUCUUCAUUAUUGUACAUGGAAUUUCCUUCUUGACAGUCUUCAGACAUGCUCAUAAAGUUCUUUUGUACCACAGUUAUGUAAAAUUUCUUUUUUGACAGACGUCCAACAAGUUCUUUUUACCACAGUAAUUGUGAAAUAUCUUUAUUGACAAACGUCAGUCAUGCACGAAAAUUUCGUUCUCAAUAGUGAUGUCGCCUUAAUUAUUGGUGAAAUUUCUUUUUGACAAGCGUUCGGCAUGCACAUAUAGUUCAUUCUGACAACAGUAAUUGUGAAAUUUCUUCAUUGACAGGCGUCAUUCAUGCACGAAAAUUUCUUUCUCGAUAGUGAUGUCGCCUUAAUUACUGUGAAAUUUCUUUUUGACAAACGUCCGACAUGCAUAUAUAGUUCUUUCUGACCGCAGUAAUUGUGAAAAUUCUUCAUCAACAAGUGUUAGUCAUGCACGAAAAUUUCUUUCUCGGUAGUGAUGUCGCCUUAAUUACUGUGAAAUUUCUUUUUGACAAGUGUUCGACAUGCACAGAUAUUUCUUUCUGACUAUAUUAAUUGUGAAAUUUCUUCACUGACAGGCGUCAGUCACGCAUGACAAUUUCUUUAUCAAUAUUGAUGCUAUCUUAAUUACUAUGUGAAUUUUAUUUUGACAAGUGUCCGACAUGCAUAGAAAGUUAUUUUUUACCUACGUCUAACUGGCCUUACUUAUCUUAGUAAAUGUUACGUUCAAAUGACCUCACUUAUCUCAAUAAACAUUACGUCUAACUAAUGUUUGACAUGUGCAGAAAGUUGUUUUCGACAAUAGUUAUGUGAAAUUUCUUCUUUAUCAAUCGUCCAACAUAUGAAAUUUUCCUUUUUAACAGUCAUCUGACAUGCAAAGAAAGUUCUUUCUAACUACAAUAAACGUUAUGUCCAUCCUUAACAUCAAAUUGAAAUCAAGUCAUUUUCAGUAAAAAAAAAAAAAAGAGUGCAUAGUAAAUUUUAUUAAAAAAGGAGAGGGCUCAAUGAAUUUCUCAGAGACGUAUGUCCUUAUAAGUAAUGAAUCAAUUAAUAGAGAUGAAUUUUGGUGAUAAAUCAUAUUGUUCCCCAGAAAGUAAAUAAUUAGAGCUAGUUAAGAACUGAAAGCAGACCAAGGUGAACCUGGAAACAAAGUUGAGGUAUUAGUAAGAACUCUUUUGCUUGACGAGGGCUUUGUAUGGACAUCAACCUCCUCAUUCCCUCGGUUCGUGGUACAGCACCGUUAACCUCAUCAGCUGGUAUGUCAUCUCUCUCACUCUCUCUGUCUCCCAUGAAAGUGCAGGGUUUUAGCAGUUUCUUGCUGCGCUCAUAGCAACUGCCAUAAACUCCGCACCAAAUGCAAGUGAUGACGAGCCAGACUGCCCACUCCAUUCACUAGCUGAAGCCUAGAAGGUCAAGGACCAGGGUUGCCUUUGACUAGGAGUCUUGGGCCAGCGGCUAGUCCUCUUUGUUCAAGUUGAAGCAGUUUAAGAUUAGAUCAUGACUAAGCCCAAAUCAAAGGCCCACCUGGGUUCAAUUUUCCCUGCAAACUUAGAAAUAAGACUGAAAUUACAAAUAUUUUUUUCUUUUUCACCAAAUCCUUGACCCCUUAGUGUAUGUAUAUAGUUCUAUUAAAAAUACUUUUUUUUACCAACAUUCAAUAUGCGUGAAGCUUUCGUUUUCACAUAAGUUCGAUAUAUGUGAAAUUUUUUUAUUUACAAGCGUCUGACAUGCAUAAUAAGUUCUUUCUUAUCACAGUAAACAUUACGUUCAUCUUCACCAUAAAUUGAAAUUAAGUCAUUAUGCCAUAUUUUCCAUUCUUAACCUUAAACUAGAGCAAUAAAAUUAACCCUAAACAUAACUAGUUUGUUUACUCUCCAAAUUAAAGGCCAAUUAAAAUAGGAAAAAGACUCGUAAUUUAGAGUGAGACAGUUUCUGUACAUGCAUACCAAAAGCACCCAAAAUCCCAGCCCCAUGGAGAAACACCCACCCUAGCUUAAUCUGCUAGCUUCAUAUAUAAUUAACAUGCAUGCAUAUUACAUUACAAAAGAUACAAGAUCCACUAAAACACACUCAAAUUAAAGUCCCUGUAAAGGCCAGACUCCAAUCCUUGUUGAAACACCACCACACCAUCAAUGGAAACGCUGAGGGCCUCCUGUUCGCUGUCUCUUUCGGGGAGUUGUUAUUUCUUGAUAAGAGUUAUCGAGGGUGAAAAUUACUUUCAUACUUGACAUGCUUCUGGUAUGUGAAAAAAAGUUCUUCCACAACAGGGUUUCAUUAUGCGUGAAAAGCUUUCUUUCGCUAUUGAUUCCAUCCGUAAUUAUUCUACGUAAAAUUUCUUUCUUAACAUUCAUCAGACAUGCAAAUAAAGUUCUUUUUUACCGCAGUAACAUAAAAUUUCUUUUUGACUAGUGUUCGACAUACAUUGAAAGUUCUUUCUGACCACUGUGAAAUAUCUUUAUUGACAAACGUUUGUCAUGCACAAAAAUUUCUUCCUUGAUAGUGAUGUCACCUUAAUUACUGUGAAAUUGCAUUUUGAUAAGCGUCCAACCUGCACAAAUAGUUCUUUCUGACUACAGUAAUUGUGAAAUUACUUCAUUGAUAGAUGUCAGUCAUGCAUAUAUAACAAUUUCUUUCUCAAUAUUAAUGUUGUCUUAAUUACUGUGUGAAUUUUAUUUUGACAAGCGUUCGACAUGCAUAGAAAGUUAUUUUUUUAUCUCAGUAAACAUUACAUCUAACUGGCCUUACUUAUCUCAAUAAACGUUAUGUCUAACUGACCUUACUUAUCUCAAUAAACGUUACGUUAGGCAACGUUCGACAUGUGCAGAUGGUUGUUUCUAACCAUAGUAAUGUGAAACUUCUUUUAAAUAAUCUUCCCACAUGCAAUGAAAGUUCUUUCUAACCACAAUAUAUGUUAUGUCCAUCCUUACCAGUGAAUUGAAAUUUAGGUCAUUAUCCCCCGUUUACCCAUUCCUUAACCUUAAAUUAGAAGCAAUGAACACAACAACAUCAUUUAAUCUUCAAAUUAAAGGCCAAUUGAAAUAGGAAACAGACUUAUAAUUAAGAGUGAGACGUUUCUGCACAUACAUACCAAACGCACCGAAAAUCCCAACCCCAGGAGAAACACCCACCCUAGCUUUGAUACCUUCAUAUAACUAACAUGCUUGCACAUUACAUAUUAUAAAUAAUGCUAGCUUUCAUUAAAUAAUGCUAGCUUUCAUUACACACUCUAAUUAAAGCCAGACUCCCAUUUUUUAUUCACUAAUUCUAUAUUCUUAUUUGGUGAAACACCACCACACCAUCCCCUCUAUGGAAACGCUCAGCGCCUCCUGUUUGCUGGCUCCUUCUGGCAGUUGAAGUAGACGGUGGAAACCGGCAGUCCAAGGUCGAGCUGCGCCGCAAAGAAGCGGGUGUUGAAAUGGGCACGAGAGGGUGGUUGCUCCACCAAACCCACCGGAGCCUUCUGCUGAAACAGCACCAGAAUGUAGCGGUGAAUCCCCACUGGUGGCCUCGGACCAACGUACGGCAGUAUCUCUUUCCCUGCAAUAAUUAUUUUGUUAUUUUAUUCAUUGAUUGUCAAUUUGGUGGCUCAUAAUCUCUUAUUUCAUGUUAUUUUUUAUUCAUUUAAAAAAAUAUCAAAAUUAAUUAGAGAGCUUGGUAACGAAACCAUUGUGCCACGUGGAUGCAACAGGGGGAGAGGUUACCACAUCAACAAGGUAACCUUGACAAGUGGCACAUACGUGUCACUAGGAGCAAAUGUGUUUCAAGGAUGAACUACGUGUUGCAAUAUAUGCAAAGACAAAAACACCAUUCAGGAAGAAAUUUUAAAACUAUAUUAUUUUUAGUUUGUAUAAAUAGCUAAAAUAAUAUGAACUGUAAAGAAAAUAUACACGACACGUGGUUUUUGAAAAAUUGUUGAACCAAAUCAAAUUUGGCCAGUUUUACGGCUAGCUAGUGACAGAUGCUUAAGAGGUAUAGAAGCAAAACAUUCAUGGUUUUUCGAGAAUCAACUGAUAAGAUGGGACCCUGAAAAUUUUUAAUGAUUUUUUCGGAAAUGAUCUCAAAACAUUCGAAGCUAGAGAAAUGCAUGCAUGUCAAUGAUUCCGCUUGGAAACGAGUGUUUUGCCAGAGAUUCUCUACUCGAAAAUUAAAGAAUGGAAUAAAGUUUCUGCUCGAAAAUAUGUGUAUAUAUACGUAUAUAUCUAUAUGUGUGUGUGUAUAGAUAUAGAGAUAUAUAUUUGUGUUGCAUGCAUGCAAAAAGCUGCAACCAAAAACUUAAAGAUUUGAAAACGGUAAAAAGGUAGGAAGAUUUUUUCUCUUGGUAUUUGUAAAUUACCUCUGAGAGGGUUUGUUCCUCCAGGGAUAUCAGACACGAUCCUGAAAUCAUAAACAAUGUGCAUGAAGUUAAUUUUUGUGUGUCCAAUUAAGAAAGAUUAUUGACAACAAAAUUUGUAAAAUUAAGGUAAAUAAAUUAAAACGCAAUUCAUGCAAGACGAAUAAGCAGUUGAUCAUCACCAAUGGACCCACUCCCUCAUGCUUGGCUCACUCGGACUCGGAGCAUCAGGGUCAGUCAUCACCUGCAUGAACAAUUUUAUUAGGUGUACAUAUUUAUGCAAUAAAAAAAAUGUGAAAUGUGUAAAUUUAACUCAUGCAUGCAACAGGAUCGAGUUGAUCUAGGUGUGCAGAAGUGAAAAGGGGCGGACCAGGGUGUAGAGCUCGCCAGGGUGACCAGUGAAGGUGAUUUUUGGGGGGUUGAUGGCCAUGGAAGGUUUGAUGUCACAGCCAUUGGUGACAUGCUUGGAACCAAAGUAGACUGACAUGCUCAGGGUGGGGACGAACAUGUCCACGACAUCGCCGAUCACUCGGCCGACGACGAGAGGAUCAACGGAGGCAGCCAUGAGAUCAGGAAGGAAAU
rnacentral:lncRNA from 1 species